GACAGAGGGUGCAAACGUUGUUCGGAAUUACUGGGCGUAAAGCGCGUGUAGGCGGCGACGCAAGUCGGAUGUGAAAGCCCAUGGCUCAACCAUGGAAGUGCACCCGAAACUGCGUCGCUAGAGUCUCGGAGAGGAAGGUGGAAUGCUUGGUGUAGAGGUGAAAUUCGUAGAUAUCAAGCGGAACACCGGUGGCGAAGGCGGCCUUCUGGACGAGUACUGACGCUGAGACGCGAAAGCGUGGGUAGCAAACAGG
rnacentral:rRNA from 1 species